rnacentral:lncRNA from 13 species
GGUUGGUGAUUUGGAUCAUCUAAUCCUGUGUAGGGUUGGUGAUUUGGAUCAUCUAAUCCUGUGUAGGGUUGGUGAUUUGGAUCAUCUAAUCCUGUGUAGGGUUGGUGAUUUGGAUCAUCUAAUCCUAGUACACCACCUAGUAGCAUCCAACAUUUUGGCGCUAAACAUUUUAUAUAUCCAAAUCUCAUCCUUCAUGGAGAGUUACUGAAUCGCACUGAGUCAUUCACGUCAUCUUAAUCUGGGAUCCUUAAUUAGUUUUCCCCCCAGAGGGAGUCUGUGAUUGUGUCCUAAAUGGCAACCUAUUCCCUAUCUAAUGAACUCUUUUUGACAAGGGGCCAUAGGACUUUUUUGUCAAGAGUAGUGCGCUAAAUAGGGAAUAGGGUGCCAUUUGAGAAGCACUCUGUAUUAUAGCGAUAAUCACUUUUAACAUAUGCAUUUAUUUCCGAGUUUUUCUUUUGUUUUCUGAGAACCAUAUUGAAUUUGUUGUCAGUGUCAUAUGUGAUGUCAACUUGUUGUGCUGUUGUUACCUAUAAAUAAAAAGGCUUGGCGUCAAUUCCAUUUAAAUUCAGUCAAUUCGGGAAGUUGACUGAAAUUCACUUUUUUUUUAAAAAUGUAUCAUCGAGAAUAGAAUCAUUUUGAGGAGAAUUGGAAUUUCAGUUUACUUCAAGAAUUGACUGAAUUGAAAUGGAAUUGACUCCCAACCCUGUACCUGAAUGAUAUCCACCUGUCCAAAUGUUGAGGACAAUUAAUACAUAUCUGUCUACUCACCUGUAACAACAGUGUUAACUCAUCCUGUAGUAGGCAAUAAAUACAUGGAUUCAACGGGGAAGUUGUGGUGUUCAUAUUGGGGGGGCCCGAACAGUAGACGGGGGGUCUGGGGGGGACAUUUAAAACAUGUUUCCUGCAAUUCUACACAGUUUGCCAGGACUUAUGCCUCUUCUGAGGGCUAUGCAGGGGUUUUCAGUGGGGUAUUCAGUGGGGUAUUCGGAGGGGUAUUCAGUGGAGUAUAUGGAGGGGUAUUCAGUGGGGUAUUCGGAGGGGCANNNNNNNNNNCGUUCACUCCCCUGGUAGUUAAUGUAUUGAUCGUUCACUCCCCUGGUAGGAGGGGAACCAGCAGUGUUGUGGAUCUUCUGCACUUCUUUACAAGACCAACCAAUAAUCCCUGUCUUUUGUGAUGCUAGCAACUGGAGCUACUUACAGCUGGGAACCCACUGACCACAAACCUUGUGUUGGGUUGGAUUGUUUUCUUAAUAUGCAGGUAGAACUGCCAAAAUAAAGGAAACGCUAUAAUUGAAGGCAGGUGCUUCCACACAGGUGUGGUUCCUGAGUUAAUUAAGCAAUUAACAUCCCAUCAUGCUUAGGGUCAUGUAUAAAAAUGUCCCAGUUGCCCAUUAUUUUGGCCACCAUGUCUAGAAGAAAAGAUGUCAGUGACUUAGAAAGAGGGGUCUGAAAGGAGCAUAGGGGGUUUAAAGGCUGUGUGUGUCAGUCCACAGAUGUCAGGCCGAGACACUGCGUUUUCUGCAUCAACAAAACACCAAAUGUUGUCAUUUCUCGUGGAAGAAUGGUGGCUCUUUCCUCCAAUAGAGUUCCAAACUCUAGUACAAUCUCUGACGAGGUGCAUUGAACCUGUUCUGAUUGGUGGAGGCCCAACGCCCUAUUAGGACACUUGAUGUUGGUGUUUAUACUUUAUUUUGGCAGUUACCUGUAUAU